rnacentral:rRNA from 1 species
UACGUAGGCAGCGAGCGUUGUUCGGAGUUACUGGGCGUAAAGCGUGCGUAGGCGGUCUCAUAAGUCUGUUGUGAAAUCUCCCGGCUCAACUGGGAGGGUGCGGUGGAAACUGUGAGGCUGGAGUAUGGGAGAGGUAGGCGGAAUUCCUGGUGUAGCGGUGAAAUGCGUAGAUAUCAGGAGGAACACCAGUGGUGUAGACGGCUUACUGGACCAACACUGACGCUGAGGCACGAAAGCGUGGGGAGCAAACAGG